AUUGAACGCUGGCGGCAGGCUUAACACAUGCAAGUCGAGCGGGGGAAGGUAGCUUGCUACCGGACCUAGCGGCGGACGGGUGAGUAAUGCUUAGGAAUCUGCCUAUUAGUGGGGGACAACAUCUCGAAAGGGAUGCUAAUACCGCAUACGUCCUACGGGAGAAAGCAGGGGAUCUUCGGACCUUGCGCUAAUAGAUGAGCCUAAGUCGGAUUAGCUAGUUGGUGGGGUAAAGGCCUACCAAGGCGACGAUCUGUAGCGGGUCUGAGAGGAUGAUCCGCCACACUGGGACUGAGACACGGCCCAGACUCCUACGGGAGGCAGCAGUGGGGAAUAUUGGACAAUGGGGGGAACCCUGAUCCAGCCAUGCCGCGUGUGUGAAGAAGGCCUUAUGGUUGUAAAGCACUUUAAGCGAGGAGGAGGCUACUUUAGUUAAUACCUAGAGAUAGUGGACGUUACUCGCAGAAUAAGCACCGGCUAACUCUGUGCCAGCAGCCGCGGUAAUACAG
rnacentral:rRNA from 1 species